ACAAAGUGCUCUUUUGAAUUGGAAGAAAACAACCGGAAUAUGAAACUUUGAUUUUGUCCGACUUUUUCUUAUCAGUGGGGUCUACCAAUGUACACCGCCUGUACAAAUGCUCUUUAUGCGUGCUGAAUUUUCACAUCAAAGAUGGCACCUCGAGGUUCAAUAUGUGGAUUACAUCUGGUUUGUCUGUUUGCAAUUGCCACUUCGUUCUGGGCGAACGCAAGCAUGGACGUAUGGGUAACUAAUAGCAACGGAGGAGACAGACUGUCAAAGAAAGCCUCGUUAUCGCCCACCGGAAGUUCUAACGGAUUCCAUAUAAACGUCGACCGUAACAAGCGUUACCAGUUCAUCUCCGGUUUCGGAGCAGCAUUAACCAAUGCAGCUGCGUACACUCUGUUCCACAGUCCAAGACGAGACCAGAUCAUGGAGGAUCUGUUUGGAUCAUCCGGAAUUUCUAUGAGCUAUCUAAGGUUGCCAAUGGGAGGCACAGACUUUCAGGGAGUACAGCCUUACACCUACGAUGAUCUGCCAUCCUGGCAACACAACGACUUCCAUAUGGACCAAUUUUCUAUCCAGAAGGACCGUGAUUUUAUCAUCCCCAUUCUCAAGCAAGCUCUGAAAAUCAACCCCAGCCUGAGGAUCAUUGCUACGCCCUGGUCCGCUCCUGCAUGGAUGAAAACCACAAAUUCUCUCUUUGGGGGAGAGUUUCACCAUGGCAACAACUACCAACAGGCAUAUGCUUUGUACUUUGUAAAAUUCAUUCAAGCGUACCAGAGCGAAGGGAUUUCAAUUGACGCUAUAUGCCUACAGAACGAACCCAAACACUCAGAUAAUUCUUACCCAACGAUGAAACUCAGUUGGGAAGCCGAGAGAGACAUUAUAAAGAAUUACCUCGGACCUGCCUUCAAUCAACACAGCAUAAACACAAAGAUUAUCAUUUACGACCAUAAUUGGGACGACACAGGCUACGCUGGCAACAUUCUGUCCGACGGGGGAGCUGCUCAGUACAUCAGAGGAAGUGCAUGGCAUUGUUACGGUGGCCGCCAUGACACGUGCGGGGGAUUCCACAAUCAACAUCCAGACGUUUUAUAUUGAUAUUGACGGCCAACAUUACCAAUACACCCUCCCGAGAGAAUCGGUCGCGACAUUUGUGUACCGCAAUUAGGAAUUUCAACCUAUAUCAACUUUUAAGUGUAUCUUCUGUAGAUAAUUAUCUUUUCAAAAUCAAUACAAAUUUUGUUAAACGUUAACGAUACAUCAAUUCUAAUAGCCGUGAUUUAUCUUUGACAACUGACAUGCAUACACAUUGGUAACAAACUGUAUACAAGUACGGUGAUAAAGGUUACAAAUGGCCACACCAAAGAAGCUCAACAAUAGGAAAGAGGAACAAUAGUUAAAUGACUACCAACUAAAGAGCUUAGAUUUUUUGUAAAAGUGGUAAAAAUUGAUGCAAUC
rnacentral:misc_RNA from 1 species